rnacentral:rRNA from 1 species
UAGAAUUCCACGUGUAACGGUGAAAUGCGUAGAGAUGUGGAGGAAUACCGGUGGCGAAGGCGGCCUUCUGGACAGAUACUGACGCUGAGAUGCGAAAGCGUGGGGAGCAAACAGGAUUAGAUACCCUGGUAGUCCACGCUGUAAACGAUGUCGAUUUGGAGUUUGUUGCCCUGAGUGAUGGGCUCCGAAGCUAACGCGAUAAAUCGACCGCCUGGGGAGUACGGCCGCAAGGUUAAAACUCAAAUGAAUUGACGGGGGCCCGCACAAGCGGUGGAGCAUGUGGUUUAAUUCGAUGCAACGCGAAGAACCUUACCUGGUCUUGACAUCCACAGAAUCUUGCAGAGAUGCGAGAGUGCCUUCGGGAACUGUGAGACAGUGCUGCAUGGCUGUCGUCAGCUCGUGUUGUGAAAUGUUGGGUUAAGUCCCGCAACGAGCGCAACCCUUAUCCUUUGUUGCCAGCGAUUUCGGUCGGGAACUCAAAGGAGACUGCCGUUGAUAAAGCGGAGGAAGGUGGGGACGACGUCAAGUCAUCAUGGCCCUUACGACCAGGGCUACACACGUGCUACAAUGGCGUAUACAAAGGGAGGCGACCUCGCGAGAGCAAGCGGACCUCAUAAAGUACGUCUAAGUCCGGAUUGGAGUCUGCAACUCGACUCCAUGAAGUCGGAAUCGCUAGUAAUCGUGAAUCAGAAUGU